GCCCUGGCCACAGCAGCCCAAGACGUUCAUUUAUCUAUUUUUUAAUUAAAAGAAAGAUAAAUGAAUGUCUUGGGCUACUGUGCCCUGGCC